CGAUCGAAUUUUACUAUUUUCUUUUACUAUAUUCAUUCAUUUUAGAUAAAUAUAUAUAAAAUAAAUUGAAGUUAUAGUAAAGAAAAACAACAAGAAGUUGCGAAUGUCUAUGUUUGAAAUUAAACAUACAUAUUAUAAUGUACAUAAUAAAUUGAUGAUGAUUUACAUGUAAACUAAAUUAAACAAAUACACUAAUGUCUAACAAAGCAUCCUCUUGUGCCACAUCGUAGAGGACUGCUUGUACGUUGUGGAUUUUGGCGGACAUCAACUUGUCGGAUUGCUAGAACUGUUUUUGCCUCUCCUUUUGAUUCUGUAUUUUCUUCAACAUCUCUUUGCUUAAAAAAAAAGCCAAUGGGAAAAGAGGUUUUAAAAAAAAAGGUUCAUGCUAUUGAAAAUGUUAUUGGGAGACAUUUUUAGAGUCACGUCACACCUCUCGUUGCAAUUUCUGCAUGCCUUGGAAAUGAUGAAAUAUGACACAAUCAUUGGUUUACACGCCGUGAAAAUAAUGAAAUAGG
rnacentral:misc_RNA from 1 species